UGGGAAGCUUCUAAAGAUUUUAUUUUCUUUUUUUAACUUUAAUAAUUUUGGAAAGUUAUUGAUUUAUUUCCAAAAUAUGGCCACUAUUUUUUUUGGAAAUGAUAUGUAACAAUAUUAUUAUUUUUUCUUUAUUUUAUCUAACAUAUUAUUCGAUCCACUUAUUUUGCACUUUAACUAGUACUAAUUUUUUUCUUUUUCUUUUUCUUUUAAUAUGACCAUUUUUUUCGGCAAUCGAUAUGUAUUAUUAUUUUAUUUAUUUAUUUUAUUUAACAAUUAUUUGGUCACUUUAUUUUGGACUUUAAUAAUUAAUUUUUUCUUUAUCUUUUUUUAAUAUAUCCACUUUCGUUUGCAAAUGACAUGUAUUAAUAUUAUUUUUUUCUUCAUUUAUUUAACAUAUCAUUAUGUCACUUUAUCUUGGACUCUAACUAUUAUUUUUUUCUUUAUCUUUUUUUUUUAAAUAUGGCCACUUUUUUUUUGGCAAUUGAUAUGUAUUAGUAAUAUUAUUAUUUUUUCUUUAUUUUAUUUAACAGUUAUUCGGUCACUUUAUUUUGGACUUUAACUAUUAAUCUUUUUUUAUCUUUUUUUAACAUAGCCACUUUUGUUUGCAAACGAUAUGUAUUAAUAUUAUUUUUUUUCUUCAUUUUAUUUAACAUAUCAUUAGGUCACUUUAUCUUGGACUCUGACUAUUAAUUUUUUCUUUAUUUGUUUUUGAAAUAUGGCCACUUUUUUUAAAAAAAAUGGUAUGUAUCAAUAUAUAUUAUUAAUUUUUUCUUCAUUUGAUUUAACAUACAAUUUCAUAUGGUCACUUUAUUUUGUCAUCAAAAUAGUAUUAUUUUUAUUUUUAUUUUAAAUAUGGCCACUUUUUUUGGAAAUGAUAUGUAAUAUCCUAUAAUAUAAUGUAAUAUCUAAU
rnacentral:lncRNA from 1 species